rnacentral:tRNA from 1 species
UUGGAUAAAGCUCUGUAGAAGCAUUUAACUGUUAAUUAAAAAGGUGAUAAAUAUAUCUAUCCAAU